GUGGCCAAAGGCCCCUGCCAUCCCUCCUCCUCAACCAACAGCAGGACCAGAGCUGAGCAGGUUCAGGUUACAACUGAGGGCAACUGAAAAGGGCUUUUCUGUUAACUGAGGCAGAACACUGCAGAGCAAUAAAUAUCUUGGGGUGGCUUUCCUCAGUGAUGCAUCAUGGACAUGCACAGACAGACAGAAGGUGUGGAGCAACAUGUGGCCAUCCACUGGCUUGCUUCCCAAUGGAAUGUAUGGCCUUGCAGGUCCUGUUCACCAAAGGAAACAUCUCAGAAUCAGGAUUCCCAGUUUAGGCCCCAGAGUUCCUAAUUUGUUGCCUGUGUGCAAGGGUUUGGAUGAGAAGCAAGCGGGCUGCCCCCAGCAUCAUCAGGCAGCAGGGUACCCUCACUCCCCAGAGAGGGGGUCACAGCUACAGAGGCUUUGGCAAAGCUGAGUCUGGGUUUUGUCACAGCUGGAGACCAGCUGCAGAUCAUCCUUGUGAACUGUCUACCCUGGAAGCUGAGGCACCAAAGAAUGAAGGCACUGUGGUGAGCCUGGCCCUGGAAGGCUGGAGGGAUUUGGAAUAGCUCUACCACCACUGACAGCUGGCUGCCAUGGAGGCUGUCAGAGAAUGAAGCAUACCCUUGUUAAUGACAGCCAUUUCCUUAGGGCGUGAAAAUGAGAAAUCUAUGAUCACAGAUGAAGAAGCUGAGAAAUCUCAGGAUCUAUGUGUUCUGGAAGGUGGCAGAUUUUCAGACAACUCAUCAGUUGGGGGACAUGACUGAUUUCAGACUCUUGGUUGCAUUGCUUUCAAUGAAAACCAGUGACUUGCAGUUUCAGUUCUCAUCACAAAAGACGU